rnacentral:rRNA from 1 species
AGCAGCCGCGGUAAUUCCAGCUCCAAUAGCGUAUAUUAAAGUUGUUGCAGUUAAAAAGCUCGUAGUUGAAUUUCGGGAUCAGUACGCUGGUCGUGCCUCCGGUAUGUACUGGUGUCACUGAUUCCUCCCUUCUGAAGACCAUCAUGCCAUUAAUUUGGUGUGGUGGGAAUCAGGACUGUUACUUUGAAAAAUUGAGUGUUUAAAGCAGGCUCGCGCUUGAAUACAUUAGCAUGGAAUAAUGAAAUAGGACGUUUAUCCUAUUUUGUUGGUUUCUAGGAUUGACGUUAAUGAUUAAUAGGGAUAGUUGGGGGCAUUAGUAUUCAAUUGUCAGAGGUGAAAUUCUUGGAUUUAUUGAAGCUAACUACUGCGAAAGCAUUUGCCAAGGAUUGUUUCAUUAAUCAAAGAACGAAGUUAGGGAUCGAAGACGAUCAGAUACCGUCGUAGUCUUAACCAUAAACCUAUGCCGACUAGGGAUCGGAUGAUGUUAAUUUUUAUGACUUCAUUCGGUACCG